GUGUCUUAAGUACUGGAGACCCACCUGGGAAGGAAUCUAAGUGCCUGGCCACUUACUAUGUGACUGUCUCCAGCUUGGAAGAAGCCAAGGAGGGAUAUAAAAGUGCCAUGCAGCAUGCUUCAUUUUGGUAUCCAGUUUUGCUCCUGACCCCAGAGGCAGCUUUGCAGGGAAUCACGAUCCAGAAAAAACUGUGAACCCAUCCUGACAUAGGAUGUACACCAAAGACUUUUAACCGGCAAUUAUAACACCUCUGCUUGUGAGCCUGCAUCGAGAACUGGGAGAUUUGAUGCAUGUAAUAAGGAAGAUACUCUUAAAGUCUCCAUUUGGGUAGCAGCUGUGUGAUUGCAAUUGGACCCCGAGGCAUCACUAAGAACAAUAUUACAUCAUAAAUGGUACAUAGAAUUACGGAACGGGAAGGAACCUUGACAGGCCAUCAAAUCCAGUCCCCUGCACUCAUGGCAGGACAAAGCACCAUCUAGACUAUCCCUAACAGGAAAGGGUCUCGCUCUUGCUGUGUAGUGAGCAGUCACCUAUUGAAAGGCCUCAGAACCUGAUAUGGUGCAUGCUGAUAACAGAGACUAUUCUGCCGAGGCCAAGUCUGAGAACUCAGGCUGAAUCUGCUGUGUGAAUCUGAAGCUAUUCACUGAAGUCAGUGGAGUAACUCUGUAUUUGCACUGAUGUAACUGACAUCAGAAUCUGAUCAUUAGCUACGGCCUGCAAAAUAUUUAUCAUUGUGGGACUAGACUGUGUACCUGAUUCCACAAUCUAAUUCACAAUAAUUUAGAGGUGCUAAACUAGUUAGGAGCAGUUGGAACAGAAUAAAAGAGGGAGCCUCUGUUGAUGGCUAUCAUAACAAGUAAACAGUAUAUGGUGACAAGGCAU